rnacentral:pre_miRNA from 1 species
AGGUAUCGAUUCUGGCUGGGAUAGCGAAGAAACGGGUCCACAGCGGAUCAACACGGCUUGGCACCGUUCCCAGCGCGGUUUGCCACCGUCUUACCUGUCACAGCCAAUAUUGAUGCC